AGGCAUCCUCUUGAACUAGGUGUAACGCAUACGCUCUUGCAGAGGACAGGAGACGAACUCUCCGCUAGAUUUGCUGUCUAUUAUUUCUAACUGCUGAUGCCUACACACAAAGCAAAUGUUAGUAAAAUAAUAUUAAGUGUUAUUAAAAAUAAAUAAAUAAAAAUAAUAAUAAAAGCAGCUUAGAAGUGGAAAAUCAGCAUCUGGGAGUUAGGAGCUGCGCAGAUUAAACUUGGCCACGCAGUUUUUGGUCAGCUCCUUUUUGGGAGGCUGCCUUACGGCGUGCCUUUAAGCCAGGAAAGCUCUGUUGGAGGACAUCAAGGUUGCCUCUGGGUGCACAAAUCCUACCCCCUUCGAGUGUGAGGAAUUAAACCCGCUCGCCUUAGCACCCCAGAACCGCAAACAAAACCGUGUAGCUUCACCUGUUGGCUCGCUCACCCACCCGCAAGUUUACGUACGGCGCAAAUUUACCACCCGGUUUGAAGGCUGCAGUAAAUCUCCCCAUCGCGGAUUCCAGCGAGAAGGAAGAGAGUGAGAAAACGGUACGCUUGGAGUGCAUCCACCGAGACAUGGAGUUGUUCAGCUAUCUUUUGCAAGGAGCAAUGCUCUCCCCAAAAAAUCAAAAAUCUCAGAAGUCGGGAGCAAAUUAGAACCGCUUCAGAACCUGACUUCAGUAUUUCACAAAUCUCAUGCAAGAUCAAAAUAGUCAUAGAGCGAUUCUUCACGCUGGGGAGCAAAUUUCUUUGCAAUCCCUUUUCAUCCCUGCCAAGUGCUGAGUUGUUUCUGUGUCAUCUGACUACAUCAGGCAGCAGCAGUCAUUUAGCACAUGUUGAGCACAGGGCAUGGACGCCUCUUCGCAACCAGGAGGAGAUAUUAAGGACAUUACACAAAAGAAAUUGUUAGCUAUGCUAAAACAAGUUGUGACAGGGGAAAAAUAAGGAAGCACAACGCAAAUUAUAAGGCAGAUAUAAACAGAAGUCAGAAGGCAUGCACGUCUGAAUCAGAGCACACAUAGCUUGACUCAUGAAGUCCGUUUGCCUUAAUUCAGUAUAUUGUGCCAGCACUGUUGACUAAUAUGGGACAAUUUGUUCAUCAUUUCAAUCUCAAAUCAGAUUCCAGAUACCAAAAUAAUAUUUCUGAGGAAAGUAAUAAAGCCAAUCCCCCACGUGCUCCUUUUCUUCUCCAUGUUACCUUCGCAUAACACUGAAGUUAACCCUUUUAUUGCACUUUCCCCUCCUCAUGGAUAUUUCAUAAAUCCUUCAUCUCCCUUUUCACAGGCCACUGUUUGUCUGUUUAAGGGAACAGACAGGUAAGAACAGUCCAGAGCAGAAAGGACAGGAGUAGAACUGAAACACCCUAGAGAGAAUUUAGGAUGAGUUGGAAUAAUUCAGUCAACAGAAGCAAAAUACUUUGUAAUUCUGGAAUUGUUUGGCCUUGCCAUGGUGUCUUUCAGACCUGGUUUCUCACCUAACUGUCCGGAAUGGUACAGAGUUUUGUGUGCAUCUCCAGCCCACAAAGCCAAUGGACUGCAGCUCCUCCUGUCUGCUUCUUACAGUUAUUCUUCAUGUAAGAAAUGAAGAACUGAAUGUCAGCAUUACAUAAAGCAAGAGUGCACAGUGUGGUUGCCCACAGAAUACUAAAGGAAUCAGAAUUUGCAGCAAAAUUGUCAAUUUUACAAAACCUGCUGGAUUUGCAUUGCAGUUGGCAGUCUCGAGAAAUAGUGUGUUACUGCCUCUACACCUGCUUUUACUCCACUAAGCCCAUGCCUUCUGCAGCUGGUUCCUUUUAUUCUCCAGCUCACGCAAUGAAGAGAUCCUUGCUUUGAGAAACAGAGCAAUAAAGCAGCGUAUCUUCCUAUUCUUUCAACUAAGAGCAGGUUCUAUGGGCUCCCCUCCAUUGCUAACACAGUAGAUAAAUACAACCAAUGCUGCCAGGACUUUCAUAUCUGAAUAAGCCCUCAAUGGUCUGACCUGAAUGUGUGGAAAUCAAGGCCCACAGAUACACAGACAAAUAAUGCACUGUACCCUGAUAGAAAUAUCACCACAAGGGCAAAUGAUUCAUUAGCAAGGCUAAAGCAUUUACACCAUUUAAAAAAUUCCACUGCUGCCAUGUGAACAUCUUUUGCAAGUCCACACUCAACUGCUGACACCAUGAAUGAAGAGCCUAACUCAUGUAAGAGAUUCCUGGCUUCUUGUUUCUGAAGUGGUUGAUGUACAGUAGACUAAUGAAAACAAAAGAGAAGCUAAAACAGGGGAGAGAAUUCUAAAAUACAGGUAUAUAGUCCCUGUCUCUUUCUGGCUGGUAAUAUCUUAAAAAAAACUGAUCAACCCUUGGUUUGAGUUGGAUCUUUCACAGGGGAUUUGCACACUCAAGCCAAAUCACACACAAGGGAAAUGAAGCACAGCUGGCAGAUGUACUCUCCAUAUUCUGCCUUACAGAAGCUACCUUAAAACUUUUUGAAACAAAAGCAGAUUGUUUUCUCUCGGAUCGCUGUAUUACUUAGGAUCAAACUUUUAACUGAAAACAAACCGAAUUUUCCUUUUUAAUAUUUCUCCACAGCCCACAGGUUGGGAAUGACUGAAGUGAAGAAAGCUCUAAAAAAGGGAAUGAGAAGAACCCAUUGACUGGGAUUUUAAUUUGCCUCCCCCAGAAAAUUUGGCUCGCGAAUGCAUCUGCAUAUAUUUGCUCCUUUCUCUCUUUUUUCCUCACUUCUAAAAAUAAAGAUUUCUUGCCAAACCAUACGAAAGAAAUUUAGCUACUGCAAAGAGAGGUUUUUCAAAAGAUUCGUUUCUCUGAAUUAAUUAAAAUGAGAUGAGAUGGGGUUGCAGAAGUUCUUUCAUUUGUGAGCAGGAACCUAAGCAGUAAUACAGACUGACGCCUUUCAGCGUACACAACAGCACACCCAGUUUACUCAUGCAUUUUCCACAGAGGCUUCUCCUUGUAAACUCAUAGGUUAAGUCCAGGCUUAGAACUGCUUGUACGUGAAGACUUUAAAAUCCAGCAGAAGUUCAAAAUCCUGGAACCCAGACAACUGUGAAACUACUAUGAAACUGCAAUGAAGGAACACCUCCACCACUAUGUAUCUCCACUUAACUAAGAUGAUUUCAUUAUGAGAGGCUGUAGUAUUGACAUACCUUGUGCUUGCCUCUUACUCCUACCCAUUUCUCUGGAUUUAUACAAGCUUUCUUUUACAAUUGUAUUCAUAUCACAUAUCCCACAUAUUUCUCAUCCUGUCAGAGUUGAAAUACAGAACUCAAAAAAUAAUGGGGAGAAAAGAACAAAAUGAUGUUUAAUUUCUUUUUCUUGUGAAAUAUUUUUUUAAAGAAAAAAAAUAAUCCUCUCAACUUUAUAAUUCUACAAAAAGAAGUGUGAAUGCCAGAUUUGUGUGGGAUGAAGGUAAAUUUAGGACUGUAAGUCAGGCUAAAAGGGAUCACUCUUGUAACAAGGACAAUUUAUAGUGCAAGAUAAGCUAAAAGAUUAUCUAUAGACCAGUGACAAAAAUAAGUGCCAGCCAUUUUCUUUGCAAAUAUGAUUCCUCAGCCAUAGUUUCGGGAGCUAACAUGGUACUACAGCAGCAUCUUAAAAAAUCUUUUCCUCUAGCUCAGAUAAUAGACAUAUUCAAAUUUAGGUUCUUUAAAAAAAAAAAAAAGCCAAGAUUUGGAUGAUAGCUUUAUAUAGAUGUAUAUACAUAUACAUUAUCAUUAAUAUUACUGCCUAUUGGAAAAGUAUUUUCCGUAUGCUAAAUAUUGAUUAGCAACUACUUUGCUACCCUCACAUAUGUAAUUUAUAAUCCUGUUUUUAUCACUGUUUACAAUCCCAUUAUGAUACAAGAAAGGAAUUAAUGCUUUGUUAAUUUUGACAUCUUUUGGGGUCAAGGAGGUAGAAAGAGUGGUUGCUUCGAGUUCCUCUUCCUAUGAGACAUAAAGGCAGAAAUUUACAUCUUGGAAAAACAUAAUUUGUAAUCUACAUAAACACGUGAAACAAAGAAAAUGUUAAAGAAAAAUUAAAAAAUUUUUCCUUUUCAAAGCAAAACACAUUUCUAUAUGUUAUAUAAUGGUAAAAAUCAUUCUUCGUUUUUAAAUUCAGAAACAGUGGAGAAAUAAUGUGUAAGAUGAUCAAAAUACCAAUUGAAGAAAACUAACAGGAAAUAGUGUAUGGUAAUUUCAAUCAUGUUACACUAAAAAAAAAAAAUCACCCUAGUUUUGAAUUAUGUCGGCUAUACUUGGCCAAAUGUUUUUUCUUUUUUUUUUCUUUUUUGAACAGUUUCCUUUCAAUAUGUCAUAUUCUCCAAAACACUCAAUUCCUAUGCUAUCAGAGGCCAUUUUUGGACACUGGUUAGAAGGAAGACACGAGGUCUCACUUUAUAUACAGGCAGCUAUUUGUUUUUUUCCCAUGAAAGUUCAAAAUCACAGACAGCCAUGCACCAGACAAUACUCAAGUGGACUUUGGCAUAAACCAAAAAAUUUCUGUGGGUGAGCAAUUCUGUAGCAGGCCAAACAACUUGUUUGUGAAUGCUCAACUGAACAUAGAAUCUAGAACUCUUCAAGCAUAAAUCCAUAAUUCUGCAUCCAGUUUCAAGCCCCAAAUUAAGAAAGGCUUUGGUAAAUGGGAGCAAGUUCAACAGCAUUCCACCAAGAAGCUCAGGAGGCAGAAGCGCUUGAUGUGAGGACAGGCUGGUCUUGUUCAGCCUGAAGGAAAGAAGGCUUGGGGAAGUCCUGAUAGCAGCUUUCCAAAAUGUAUAAAGAGAUUAUCAAGAUUAAGUCAGGCAUGCAUAGUAAGAGGAUGAGAGACAACAGACUUAAGUGAAAUAAAGCAGCUUUCAACUGGAUAUGAGAAUAAGCUUUUUUUUUCAGGUGAGGAAAGUAAGGCACUGGAACAAAUUGCUGGUAGAGGUGAUGUAUUCUAUAUCUGUGAAGGUUUUCAAGAUGUGUAUGGAUAAAGCCCUAAGCAAUUCAGUCUGACCUCAUAUCUGCGUGGGCUUGGAGCAGGAGCUGGAUUCCUGAGAUCCCUUCAAACCUGAUUAUUUUAUGAUUCUGUAAAUUCCCAAAAUCUCCAACACCACAUGGCAUUGAUAUCAAAGGACUUGUGGCUUCUCACAUUUGUUCAAACUAUUUCCUUAUUGUUUACUGAAACCACCUUUCAGGGCUUGUAAUGUACAUUUUAAACAAACAUUUAAAAAGAAAUUAUUGUAUAAAGAAGUUGGCUACUGUCUAUAUGAUGCAUGCUUUUCAUUUUGCCCUUCAAUCCACAAUUUUCUUCAAAAAUCCUUUUAUCACUCAGGCAGAGGCCCAGUCUUAGCAGCCAUUCUUAUCUUAAGGCUCAAGCCCUGGCAAGUACAUAAAUCAAUGGUAAUGCUCAUGUGCUACUAGUUCAUAUACUGAACUAAAACCCAGAAUCUGAAAUUAAUGGCAAAACCAGUGGAAAGACUUCCAUUGAUGUUAGAAUGCACCACGUCAGUCGAGUCUACAAGUUUGUGUUCUGUUGAAGGAAUCAACCUUGUUACCAGCUGUUUGGUUCUAAAUAUAUGCUUAUCUCUAUUUUUAAAUGCUACUGCUUUUACUAGACAGUUUUAUAUGUCAGAGCAAAGGGCUUUGCCCUUGGUGAAAGACAUGUCUAGAAUAGAGGUUUAAAGCAGUCGACAGAAGCUAGCAACUUUCUGUAGGACUUUAUUGAAUGGACACCAUCAAACAUUUUUCUCUGUAAUUAUAAUCAAACAUAACCGUAACUCUGUAAGUUUAGGGAAGCAAUUAACUUCUACUGUACAUAAGAGAAGUUCCUCAAAAAAUAAACGUUCUGAACAGUC